CCUUCUCAGAACUCUUCAGCCUUGAGGAGCCUUUACAUACGCUAUGUCUAAAAGAAGACCAUGUAUUCCCAUCUCUGCGUAGUCUGGGGGAUCAUCUUGGGUUCGUGCUUACGUAACCUGACCCUAGCGAAAGGACAGCCCGUGAGCUCAUCAGGAUCACUGUGGAGAGAGCUGAGAUCACUGGGUGAGCCGAGUUCAUCCGUACCACCUUUGACCUGUGUGCGCUGUCAGGAACAUGACAUACUCCAGGGAAUAGGACACAGGUUUAGUUGUCCCUUCCACUGAGCCGUCACCCCAACCUUAUGUAAAGACAGUACCAGUCGGGGUUCUCCUGACAAAUGGAACUGAUGAGAUGAAGAUGACCUGAGUGACGGCCGAGACUGACAAGUAUGAAGUCUGUAGAAGAGUCGGUGGACUGGACACGCUGGCUAGACUUCUGCAUCCCAGCUGUGACACAAGGCCUCCUCCAGGAAGUCUUCAGCUGACUACUGAUGGAGGCCUACCCUCCUUAUCCAGAACAAUCUCCUUCAUUUGAAAUCAGCUGUUCACAGGUGUUAGUCACAGUAACAUCUAGACCAGCAUUUAAACAGGGAGCCCCAUGCCCAAGCUAAGGUCACAAGUGACAUUUGACCAUCACAGAAGUAUCGAUCACUUUUUGUGUGUGAGGAAAGUGAAACUCAGGGCCUGUCCUGACUGCUUGAGGCUGGAGGAAGGAAUAUAAGACAGGGACACUGGAUAGGUGCUGGUAAAAAUCAGGCUUAAAACAUACAUGCUGGCCAGGCGGUGGUGGCGCACGCCUUUAAUCCCAGCACUUGGGAGGCAGAGGUAGACGGAUCUCAGUGAGUUCGAGGCCAGCCUUGUCUACAAAGUGAGUUCCAGGAC